AUAACUACACAAGUAAUCACACUUAUUAGUCAAGGUGAGACAUUAUGCAAUUGUUUAAUGAUGAAUUCUACAUAUAUAAAAGAACAGACAAUAGCUUACACAAAUGUGUGAAUGUAAAGAUAGUGUAAAUGUUAAGAAUACUAACCAGUUAAGCAAAACAAAUUGAUUCAACUUUUACUCGAACAAAGUAGCAAAAUAGCGAAGAAGAACACUUGAAUAUUUACCGGAUUC
rnacentral:misc_RNA from 1 species